rnacentral:lncRNA from 13 species
GGGUGAGUAGAGGUGGGCCAGGUGAAGCAGGUGGAGGUGGGAUGUGUGGACACAUUUUCUGGUCAGAAGGAACAGCAUGUGUGAAACCCAGGGAGGCUGCAGAUGUGAGCAGGGCCUCAUGGGUUGUGUCAAGUGACGGCUCGGACCUCAUUUGAAGGGUGAUGUGUGGCAGAUUAUGUUUUCUAAACGUGGCUGCCACCCUGGCUACUGUCCCACUUUCUCCUCUUACAACAUGGCCUUGACAUCCGCCCAUCCAACACUGGGUCUGUGUCCCCUUCCUCUGAAUCUGGGUGGAGCUUUGUGUAUAACAGAUACUUUGUGUGUGACGCUCUGUGACCUCCAAGCUUAGGUCACACAAAUACCUUUCUGUCUUGCUGUCUUGGGACAGUCACUCAGGCCUGGCCACCACGCAGUAAGGAAUCCCAAACUAGUCCCCGCAGAGGCCAUCAGUGACGCCAUAUCUAGGUGUCCAGCCAACAGCCCUGCUGUGGUCCCAACUGUGCUGUCAUCGACAGCCAGAUGGGAAGAAGACUCCUCCGGUGAACCCCAGCUCCUACCCAUCUCGGCGUCCCAGGACAUCACGGAGCAGAGUCCAGCCAUUCUGAAGUGCCUGUCUGAAUUCUCAACCCACAGACUGAGCACCAAGGGGUUGUUUAAAGCCACUAAGUUUUGGACAGGGUUGUUAGCCAGCGGUCGUAACUGGAACAGAUGGUAGAACAACUGAGGCUUGAGAAGAUGACUGCCCUAGAGCAGGAAGCUCGGAUUUUUGUUGGGUGAGCCCGGCCUCCAGAGUCCGACUCCACAUCCCUCAUGCUGCCUGGAGGCUGCCUACACCUUUGGCUGGCUUCUAAAUCUCCUCAAGAACCAGCUGGGCACAGAGGUUCUGUAAAGACCACGAGAGCCUGCUAGGUGUGGGGAGCUCUUAGUUCUAGUGCUGGGCGCUAGAGCCCUCUCUCACUCUAUGCAUCCCAGAGGAGCUGUUAAAUAGAGGUGAUCUCACCCUGUGGCCUCCUGAACUCUCCCUUCUGAGUGUUCAAAGCACAUUGUUACCCCACCCCUUCCCAGGAGAAAAGGGAGCCACUUCUCAUGAGCAUGGUAUGGACAGCAGCGUAGGGUGUUUGCUUCUCAACAUUUUGCUCACAUCUCUCGGUAAGAAAUAUAUAGGUUGGGUGCUAUGGCUCACGCCUGUAAUCCCAACACGUGGGGAAGUCGAGGCAGGCGGAUCACCUGAGAUCAGGAUUUCGAGACCAGCCUGGCCAACAUGGUGAAACCCUGUCUACUAAAAAUACAAAUAUUAGCUGGAUGUGGUGAUGGGCACCUGUACAUCCCAGCUAUUCAGGAGGCUGAGGUGGGAGAAUCAUUUGAACUCGAUAAGUGGAUGUUGCAGUGAGCCGAGACUGCACCACUGUACUCCAGCUCAAG